UAUAUAAAAAAAAUUAAUAGAGCUGAGGAACCACGCAGACAUUCAGGAAGACACCAACAUCAGAGAGCAACCGAAGAACCAAGCACACAGCAUUCAAGAUGCAGAAGAUGGAGAGAAACACACCAACAGGAGCACGUAACUGAAGAAGCUCAUACAUCCCAGCCACGAACCAGAAGACGUCAAACACACCAACAGGAGGAAGUAACUGAAGAAUCAAGCACGCCCUAUUCA